rnacentral:rRNA from 1 species
UGGGGAAUAUUGCACAAUGGAGGGAACUCUGAUGCAGCGACGCCGCGUGAGUGAUGAAGGAAUUCGUUUCGUAAAACUCUGUUCUAUGGGAAGAAAAGGACUGUACCAUAGGAGAAAGCUCCGGCUAAAUACGUGCCAGCAGCCGCGGUAAUACGUAUGGAGCGAGCGUUGUCCGGAAUUAUUGGGCGUAAAGGGUGCGCAGGCGGCUUUACAAGUUGGAUGUGAAUUAUUGUGGCUCAACCACAAACGUGCAUCCAAAACUGCAAAGCUUGAGUUAAGGAGAGGUAAGUGGAAUUCCUGGUGUAGCGGUGGAAUGCGUAGAUAUCAGGAGGAAUACCGGUGGCGAAGGCGACUUACUGGACUUAAACUGACGCUCAGGCACGAAAGCGUGGGGAGCAAACAGG